AGGAUUAUACUUUCAGGGCUCAUUCCUAUAGUCUGUUAUCAGAGAAGUUUCUCUGAUGUUGUGGAGCACCUGAAAUCAUGAGGAGGAGCCAGAGCAUCCUCUUCUGGGUAUGAAGCCGGUUCUAGGUGUUGUUUUUGCAAAGUCCUUUUAUGUUGAUGCUCUUUAUUCUAUUCCUUUGGAAGAGUGAGAAAGAGAGGAUGCAGUCUGAGUGGU